CAACGUAAAGAAACCUGCCUCAUAGACUGGGACAACUAUUGGAAACGAUAGCUAAUACCGGAUAACAGCAUUAACUGCAUGGUUGAUGUUUAAAAGUUGGUUUUGCUAACACUAUGAGAUGGCUUUGCGGUGCAUUAGCUAGUUGGUGGGGUAAAGGCCUACCAAGGCGACGAUGCAUAGCCGACCUGAGAGGGUGAUCGGCCACACUGGGACUGAGACACGGCCCAG
rnacentral:rRNA from 1 species